CACGUAGGGUGCGAGCGUUGUCCGGAAUUAUUGGGCGUAAAGAGCUCGUAGGCGGUGUGUCGCGUCGGCCGUGAAAACCUGCAGCUUAACUGUGGGCUUGCGGUCGAUACGGGCAUCACUGGAGUUCGGCAGGGGAGACUGGAAUUCCUGGUGUAGCGGUGAAAUGCGCAGAUAUCAGGAGGAACACCGGUGGCGAAGGCGGGUCUCUGGGCCGAUACUGACGCUGAGGAGCGAAAGCUAGGGGAGCGAACAGG
rnacentral:rRNA from 1 species